UGUCCUCCAUCACAACACAACACACACAAAUCCUCCUCCUCAUCACAAACAUGACUCUGAUCUGCGUCCUCAUCUGGACUCUCCUCUGCUGCUGCUUCACAGAGUCCAGAGGACAGGUCACAGUGACUCAGCCUGCAGCAGUGAGCUCUGCUCUGGGAGCAACAGUCACCAUCUCAUGCAGGACCAGUCAGGAUGUUUUUGGUGACUAUUUAGCCUGGUACCAGCAGAAAGAUGGAGGAACUCCCAAACUCCUCAUUUACUGGGCUGACACUCGAGCAUCAGGGAUUCCAGAUCGUUUUUCAGGCAGUGGAUCAGGCUCUUCCUUCACUCUGACCAUCAGUGGAGUCCAGGCUGAAGAUGCAGCAGUUUACUACUGUCAGAGUGUACAUGUUAUCAACAGUCAAACUGUGUUCACACAGUGAAAAAGCGUGGUACAAAAACCUCCCUCAGUCAG